GGAGCAGCCACAAUUUCUCUGGGUUUUCCAGUGUCUCACCCUCCUCACAAUUGAAGAUAGGCAGGCCGAGAUGAGCAGGAGGAAUGUGCCUCAGAGGUAAAGAUGAGGAACAUGCUCUUGGAAAGAGGGUGACUGCACCUGAAGGCACUGCUCAGAAGAGGAAGGUGUAUGCUAAUGAGCGAGUAAGUCUUUUGAAGAUUCAGUUUGUAGCACUCCAGGCAAUUCUGAACCACAGACUGAAAUGAAUUCUGUACUGAAAUGCAUUUAGAAAUUUGGCUACAGCCAAUCAGAUUAGAUGUUAAAAAAAAAAAAGCUGCAAAAAACCUCAACAUUGGAAUGAAAAGACGGAGUGAUCUGUAUUAAAUGAGAAAGAAGAAAUGCAUGAGACUUUAGGAGGAAAAGCUGAGGUUCUGCUUUUCUCAUGCCUCAUUUCAAGAAGCAGCAGCAGGAAGAAAUGCAGCCAUGGAUGGGGGGGAAAGAAAGGUAAGUGUGAAAGUCAUCAGCACUGAGGAGAGGAGCGAAGUCACCCAGAGGCCAGGGCAGAGGCUGGAGGGAGAAGCAGCAGCUCCCCAAAGCCAGAAACCAGCAGAGUGAGUUUUCCUCGUGUUUGCAUAAGUUAGCACCUGUGUUGCUUGCAGCUGGAGGAGCCGUGAGGGGGGUGGGAGACUUUCUCUCCCCGGGAAACGGGAGGGUUGCUGGUUUACAUAUGAACGAGGCCUGAUGGCAGCAAAUGACUCCAGUUGUAUGCUAAUAGUGCAGCGUUUGCGCUGCUGAUGCUGCUGAAAGUGCCGUUUCCAGUGGGGAAAGACCCACAGUUUUUUAUUUCCCUGCAGGAUCUCCACUAAUCGCCAUUAUAUUAUUACACUUAGAGCACAUUGCUUCCCUCAAGUGGGGCUGAGAGAAGGGUGAUACAUGGAACUGAUAGGAAGUGCCUUUUCCAUCUACUUGUAGUGUCUGGUUUUCUAGAGUGAACAUGUUGCUGUGGAGUUUCUUGUCCUAAAUUUGGAAGGAUGUGUUAAUAAAUUGUAAAACUGCUA